CAAAGACGCUGAAAGACAACUGUCAAAGAAGGAGCUUAAGAAAAAGGAAAUGGCAGAGUUGGAUGUACUUCUACAUGAAAUGGGCAUUGCAAAUAAAGAUAGUAAUACUGCACAAAAUGAGACAGCUGACAAGAAGCAACUGGAGCAAAGUAGUGAAGGGGAGAAGAAAGAAAGUGUUGGUGCUCCUUCAGAGAACAGAAUCUUAAAGAAGAAGAAAUCCAAGAAAGAAAAAUCAU